UCGCCACUCCCCGCGCCGCCAAGCCUGAAGAUACACACUCCCGCACACCCUACACACCCAUCCACUCCGCCCCAGCCGGGGCGGGGGUGGCGGAGGUGGGACGGGCGGAAGGUCGAGCAGGAAGCGAGGGGGUCCCCCGCUGAGCUGAUAGAGGAGGGAGCCCAGGCAGAAGACCAGCAGGGUGGCCAUGCAGAAGCCGUAGUCCCGGAGGGAGAAGCGCAGGAAAGGCAGCAGGGGCAGCCGGCGCUUCCAGCUGCCCAGGCCCGGAGGGGCGCCCCCCAAAGGGGCCCCAUGGGGCCAGGGAUCCGCGCCGCCGCCGGGAUGCUGCUGCUUCUUCUUCAUCGCCUGCUCCGCCGCCUCGCACAGCCUGCUCGUGCCAGGAAAAGCGACCUCUUCGGGGCCCCGCUGACUUCCCUCUCGUAAACAGUCACCGGCAGGAAGAAGCACGACUGACUUUACAUUUUUUGAAGUUCAGAAACUUGAUUCUCCUUAUAUAUCCCGUGCAAGCUGCUUACACAAGGCCGGCAAAAGUGCUUGUCUGGUGAAACCCAGGCUCAGUUAAACCCAAUCAUGCAACUGGACUGGAUUGCAGAAAAACACACAGCGCUGGCUGGAAUGUGGACAUGGAAGGGGCUUAGCUUCCAUCAUGCACAUGAGGACAGUACUCCAAGGAAUAUCAGAGAAACUGGUGAAAGGAACCUAGGAACCUGAAUGCUCUUAAGAAGCGAGCCAUCUGUCUGCUGUGGAUUGCCUACUGCCAUUUGGACUCCCUUGUGAAAAAAAUAAAGUAAAUUCGCUCUACAA